CGCUUAAAGACACUGUGGCAGUUCCAAAUGGGGGAUUCACAAUUGUCCGUUUUCACGCCACGAAUCCAGGUUUUUGGUUGUUCCAUUGUCACAUACUAAUUCACUCAGAAAGCGGCAUGUCUCUUGUUAUCAAAGUCGGUGACCCAAAGAAAGACUUUCCGCCAAUUCCACGCAAUUUCCCGCGUUGUGGCACGUGGAAUUUCGAGAACGAGGAAGAGCAGACGACGAGUGCCAAGUGCCCGGAUGAUUCCGCCGGUGUUCAAAAAAUCCGUGCAUCAGAAGGAACAAGGCUAAAUAGCAUGUCUACACUGGUUAAUUUCGCAAUUCUUUGGUUACUAGUUCCUUUAAUUAUUGUUUAAUGUUUUCUGUGUAUUUCAUUUAAAUUUCGCCCGGUUGUGCCACAAAACGCACAAUAGCAGUUGAAAAAUAUUUUUGUUAUUGGGAUUAAGCCUUCAUUCUUUUUUGUUAGUUCAGAUUAUGUGAUCCAAAACUGCUCUCAGCCUGAGCAUGGUGUCCUUUUUUUUAGUUUCUUUUUUAAGUAAAAAUGAAUGAAUAAUUAUGACAGUGAAAGGUGACACCUUGCCUCAAUUGUUGACGUUGACACAAUUUCUAAAUUUCAAAACAUAACUGAACCUUGAAACUGAACCUUGAAAAGUGCCCCAAACUUGAAAAGUUGGAGGUACAUUACAUGCAGGUUAAAUGCGUGCCCAGAGCUGGUAUCCCCCGGUAAUCCCAGUCUUUUAACUAUUAACAAUGGUAAGGUAAAUUGUUAUGGGUCGUUAAUUACCCAAAAUAUUGCAAGCAUUUCUGCAGUGCAGGAUUAUGACAAAUAUAUAAACAUAAUAAAUAAUAAUAAUAAU